rnacentral:miRNA from 1 species
CUGUGUCCCCAUGUCUCCCAGUGUCCCCAUGUCUCACUGUGUCCCCUAGUAUCCUAGUGACAUGGGGACACUGGGAGAAAUGGGGACACU